GACGAACGCUGGCGGCGUGCCUAAUACAUGCAAGUAGAACGCUGAAGAGAGGAGCUUACUCUUCUUGGAUGAGUUGCGAACGGGUGAGUAACGCGUAGGUAACCUGCCUUGUAGCGGGGGAUAACUAUUGGAAACGAUAGCUAAUACCGCAUAACAAUGGAUGACACAUGUCAUUUAUUUGAAAGGGGCAAUUGCUCCACUACAAGAUGGACCUGCGUUGUAUUAGCUAGUAGGUGAGGUAAUGGCUCACCUAGGCGACGAUACAUAGACGACCUGAGAGGGUGAUCGGCCACACUGGGACUGAGACACGGCCCAGACUCCUACGGGAGGCAGCAGUAGGGAAUCUUCGGCAAUGGGGGCAACCCUGACCGAGCAACGCCGCGUGAGUGAAGAAGGUUUUCGGAUCGUAAAGCUCUGUUGUAAGUCAAGAACGGGUGUGAGAGUGGAAAGUUCACACUGUGACGGUAGCUUACCAGAAAGGGACGGCUAACUACGUG
rnacentral:rRNA from 1 species